UCCUCAGUAGCUCAGUAGCAGAGCAGUUGACUGUUAACUGACUGGUCGUAGGUUCAAAUCCUACUUGGGAAG